GUCAGCCAUAUACAGCAUGGAACAGGGCUCCACAAGGACAUGAAUACCAGGUGGCAGGGAUCACUGGGCCAUCUCUCUAAAUCACGAAUGAAACAUUUGCAACCUGUGUCUCCCAAACAUGAUAUGUCUCAAUCAUCAAAGGAUCUACAGUGACUACAAUAACCAAGUGCUACAAAAACGCUGUGACGAGGAAUCUGAACAACAGAGAUUUGAGGGAAACAAAACACUUUCGACGAAGGUCCUGCUGCUUGUCUUCAGCUUGGUACCAAUUAGAGCUUCACUGGAGGUGAAAAAAUCGCGGCAUGUCUUCCAAGGAAAAAACUGUAACUAAAUCUAUGGCAAGUUUUUGGAUUAGAAAAAUCUAGGCUUCAUGAAGAUAAGAGCAGAGCUGUGGAAAAGUAAGACAAAGAAAUCAUCCAACAAUACAAGCAACAUACAAGAGGGCUUAUAUCACUUCUGUCCUCCUUCCCAGCCAAGUAAAGUAAAGCAAAAGAGAAACAACUUUCAAAAGGACUGAAACACUAUGGACUCAAUUUCCAUGUGCUGCACUAAAUGGGGUCCUUAGAGCAUCCCGGGCUG
rnacentral:lncRNA from 1 species